rnacentral:rRNA from 1 species
UACUCCGAUUGAAUGGCUUAGUGAGGUCUUGGGAUUGGCUUCGGGAAGCCGGCAACGGCAUCCUGUCGCUGAGAACUUGAUCAAACUUGGUCAUUUAGAGGAAGUAAAAGUCGUAACAAGGUUUCCGUAGGUGAACCUGCGGAAGGAUCAUUAUCGAGUUUUGACUGGGUUGUAGCUGGCCUUCCGAGGCAUGUGCACGCCCUGCUCAUCCACUCUACACCUGUGCACUUACUGUGGGUUUUACGGGUCGUGAAAUGGGCUCGUUCAUUCGGGCUUGUUGAGCGCACUUGUUGCCUGCGUUUAUCACAAACUCCAUAAAGUAUUAGAAUGUGUAUUGCGAUGUAACGCAUCUAUAUACAACUUUCAGCAACGGAUCUCUUGGCUCUCGCAUCGAUGAAGAACGCAGCGAAAUGCGAUAAGUAAUGUGAAUUGCAGAAUUCAGUGAAUCAUCGAAUCUUUGAACGCACCUUGCGCUCCUUGGUAUUCCGAGGAGCAUGCCUGUUUGAGUGUCAUGAAAUCUUCAAUCUACAAGCUUCUUAUGGGAGUUUGUAGGCUUGGACUUGGAGGCUUGUCGGUCCUUUACAGGUCGGCUCCUCUCAAAUGCAUUAGCUUGGUUCCUUGCGGAUCGGCUUGUCGGUGUGAUAAUGUCUACGCCGCGACCGUGAAGCGUGUUUGGGCGAGCUUCUAACCGUCUCGUUACGGAGACAACUUUAUGACCUCUGACCUCAAAUCAGGUAGGACUACCCGCUGAACUUAAGCAUAUC